rnacentral:tRNA from 1 species
CAGGAAAUAGUUUAUUUAAAAUAUUAAUUUUGGAGAUUAAUGAAAAGAUAAUAUAUUUUUUUUCUGA